GCCCUUUGUACGGAAUAGCCUCUGGAAACGGAGAGUAAUACCGUAUGAGCCCUUCGGGGAAAGAUUUAUCGCCAAAGGAUUAGCCCGCGUUAGAUUAGGUAGUUGGUGGGGUAAUGGCCUACCAAGCCUACGAUCUAUAGCUGGUUUUAGAGGAUGAUCAGCAACACUGGGACUGAGACACGGCCCAGACUCCUACGGGAGGCAGCAGUGGGGAAUCUUGGACAAUGGGGGCAACCCUGAUCCAGCCAUGCCGCGUGAGUGAUGAAGGCCUUAGGGUCGUAAAGCUCUUUCGCCUGUGAAGAUAAUGACGGUAGCAGGUAAAGAAACCCCGGCUAACUCCGUGCCAGCAGCCGCGGUAAUACGGAGGGGGUUAGCGUUGUUCGGAAUUACUGGGCGUAAAGCGCACGUAGGCGGAUCGGAAAGUUGGGGGUGAAAUCCCGGGGCUCAACCCCGAACUGCCUCCAAAACUAUCGGUCUAGAGUUCGAGAGAGGUGAGUGGAAUUCCGAGUGUAGAGGUGAAAUUCGUAGAUAUUCGGAGGAACACCAGUGGCGAAGGGGCUCACUGGCUCGAUACUGACGCUGAGGUGCGAAAGUGUGGGGAGCAAACAGGAUUAGAUACCCUGGUAGUCCACACCGUAAACGAUGAAUGCCAGUCGUCGGGUAGCAUGCUAUUCGGUGACACACCUAACGGAUUAAGCAUUCCGCCUGGGGAGUACGGUCGCAAGAUUAAAACUCAAAGGAAUUGACGGGGACCUACACAAGCAGUGGAGCAUGUGGUUUAAAUCGACAAUCCGCGAGUAACCUUACCAAUUUUUGCAUAUCAUAUUAAAUUGAUACAG
rnacentral:rRNA from 1 species